GCUUGUCUCAAAGAUUAAGCCAUGCAUGUCUAAGUAUAAACGACUUUAUACUGUGAAACUGCGAAUGGCUCAUUAUAUCAGUUAUAGUUUAUUUGAUGGUCCUUACUACUUGGAUACCCGUAGUAAUUCUAGAGCUAAUACAUGCGCAAAUACCCAACUGCUUGUCGGACGGGUAGCAUUUAUUAGAUUGAAACCAAUGCAGUCUUCGGGCUGGUAUUGUGUUGAGUCAUAAUAACUGUGCGGAUCGCGUUUUACGCGAUAAAUCGAUUGAGUUUCUGCCCUAUCAGCUUUGGAUGGUAGGAUAUGGGCCUACCAUGGCAUUAACGGGUAACGGGGAAUUAGGGUUUGAUUCCGGAGAGGGAGCCUUAGAAACGGCUACCACAUCCAAGGAAGGCAGCAGG
rnacentral:rRNA from 1 species